GACGAACGCUGGCGGCGUGCUUAACACAUGCAAGUCGAACGGAAAGGCCCUGCUUUUGUGGGGUGCUCGAGUGGCGAACGGGUGAGUAACACGUGAGUAACCUGCCCUUGACUUUGGGAUAACUUCAGGAAACUGGGCUAAUACCGGAUAGGAGCUCCUGCUGCAUGGUGGGGGUUGGAAAGUUUCGGCGGUUGGGGAUGGACUCGCGGCUUAUCAGCUUGUUGGUGGGGUAGUGGCUUUCCAAGGCUUUGACGGGUAGCCGGCCUGAGAGGGUGACCGGCCACAUUGGGACUGAGAUACGGCCCAGACUCCUACGGGAGGCAGCAGUGGGGAAUAUUGCACAAUGGGCGGAAGCCUGAUGCAGCAACGCCGCGUGCGGGAUGACGGCCUUCGGGUUGUAAACCGCUUUCGCCUGUGACGAAGCGUGAGUGACGGUAAUGGGUAAAGAAGCACCGGCUAACUACGUG
rnacentral:rRNA from 1 species